GAUGAACGCUAGCGGCAGGCUUAAUACAUGCAAGUCGUGGGGCAGCAGGACUGUAGCAAUACAGUUGCUGGCGACCGGCAAACGGGUGCGGAACACGUACGCAACUUACCCUGAACUGGGGGAUAGCCCGGGGAAACCCGGAUUAAUACCCCGUAAUAUAAUGGAGUGGCAUCACUUUAUUAUUAAAGCUCCGGCGGUUCGGGAUGGGCGUGCGGCUGAUUAGGUAGUUGGUUGAGGUAACGGCUCACCAAGCCUACGAUCAGUAACUGGUGUGAGAGCACGACCAGUCACACGGGCACUGAGACCCGGGCCCGACUCCUACGGGAGGCAGCAGUAAGGAAUAUUGGGCAAUGGAGGCAACUCUGACCCAGCCAUGCCGCGUGGAGGAGGAAGGCCCUCGGGGUUGUAAACUUCUUUUAUAGGGGAAGAAACCUGUGUAUUCUUACGCAGUUGACGGUACCCUAGGAAUAAGCACCGGCUAACUCCGUG
rnacentral:rRNA from 1 species